rnacentral:rRNA from 1 species
UUCAUAGAGUGUAAAGGCAUAAGGGAGCUUGACUGCGAGACCUACAAGUCGAGCAGGGUCGAAAGACGGACUUAGUGAUCCGGUGGUUCCGCAUGGAAGGGCCAUCGCUCAACGGAUAAAAGCUACCCCGGGGAUAACAGGCUUAUCUCCCCCAAGAGUUCACAUCGACGGGGAGGUUUGGCACCUCGAUGUCGGCUCAUCGCAUCCUGGGGCUGUAGUCGGUCCCAAGGGUUGGGCUGUUCGCCCAUUAAAGCGGUACGCGAGCUGGGUUCAGAACGUCGUGAGACAGUUCGGUCCCUAUCCGUCGUGGGCGUAGGAAAUUUGAGAGGAGCUGUCCUUAGUACGAGAGGACCGGGAUGGACAUACCUCUGGUGUACCAGUUGUCGUGCCAACGGCAUAGCUGGGUAGCUAUGUGUGGACGGGAUA